rnacentral:rRNA from 1 species
GGACGGGUGAGUAAUGUCUGGGAAACUGCCUGAUGGAGGGGGAUAACUACUGGAAACGGUAGCUAAUACCGCAUAACGUCGCAAGACCAAAGAGGGGGACCUUCGGGCCUCUUGCCAUCAGAUGUGCCCAGAUGGGAUUAGCUAGUAGGUGGGGUAACGGCUCACCUAGGCGACGAUCCCUAGCUGGUCUGAGAGGAUGACCAGCCACACUGGAACUGAGACACGGUCCAG